AACAUUAAGCCUUCAGGACUGGAAUCGCCUCUUCCUCUAGGUCGUUUCUUUUUCUUACGGCCGCCGCAUUUUGCAGAUGAAAGUCGAUGAUAACACCAUGGACGUUACAACGUUUCGCUUUGCUCUUCUUUACUUCGUGUUAAACCGUGAUUUCCCCACUUCUCAGCAUUCAAUCCGUCUCCUUCUCUUCCCUGAGUUACUCAGUAGAGCUUCGGGUAUAAAUACCUCUUCAUCCAGACAUGAGCAUCACAGCUUCGACGAGAACCAGAAGAUCACUCUGUUCAAUUUCUGGUUAUUACAAUGGCGAAUCCCCAAGUCCUUCUUGCCGAUUUGAACGCAGGACGGUGCUCCAACGUUGCGGAGGUUCGGUUACUCCGAUACUGGGAGGCAAGACAUGUUAGGAAAGGUGGUGAACUGAUGAGUGUUGACAUGCUCUUUGUCAAUGAGAAUGAUCUGUUAGUUCAAACCGUCAGCUUAGGUUCAGGAAACGUCUCAGCUAGGGCUCUCUCUACACGUUAACCGGAUUUGACGUCAUACGCAGCAACACCAAUUUUCAUUUGUGUUAUGCUCCUUUCUCAAUUCGGUUCAAUGAAGGAACCUCUCUUGAGAAGAUAACGGCGUCUGCUAGGCCCAUACCUACGGAGCUUUUAAGAUUCAUGCCAUAUGGUCAGAUACUUGAGCUCGCAAACACUGGCAAACAACUUCCUGAAGCACAAUUACGGACCGUAUACCAGGGGCACAGCGUGUGAUGCUAACUCUGCGUCUUGAAAGGUUCUUUCUCUUUUACAUAAUGGUUGUUUGUUUUAAGGGAUGUUUUUACCGCAUAUCUUCAAUUGACUUUACAUUUUUCUUUCUCUGCAAUGGUGAGAACGUUUGUGUGAGUAUGUUUGACUCCUUGGCUCUUGCGUUUCAUACCAAAUUUGACAGCUAUGGGAGAGAGCCCAAAAUCAUAAUUGCUACAAGCCUGAAUCCUAAGAUAGUUGGGGCCGUUUAUUUUUGAAUGCUACUUCCGGCACACAUCUCUACUUUGACUCUGAGACAGCUGCUGGGAAAAAAGUGUUUGACACCUUGCCAGGUCAGCAGACCUAGGAGCAUUUACUUCGAAGGUAGUUCGUGCACAGAAGAUUGAACCAAUGACCACCUCUGAGCUUAACCAGUUUAUUAUUACUGCUGAUUCUCAGAUAAUAGAGUUUCUUUGCACCGCUAAGUUUACUGGUAUCCAGCAAGAUGACGGUUGGUGUUAUAUUGGCUGCUCCGGGUGUUCCAAGAAACUUGUCUGAGAGAUAUCUUCCUUCGCAUGUGUUUCAUGUAAUGAAACUAAUGCUGUUGCUGCACUCAGGUACCGAAUCACAUUGUCUGUGUCAGACUACACUGAUACCGCAUCUUUCCUAGCUUUUGAUAUGGAGAUGGCUAAACUGACCAACGUUCAAGCUUCUGAGGCUGCUCAGAUUGUGGGGAUAGGUGUUGAUGCUCAGGUUGACACGGAACUUCCUCGGUCCCUUGCUGAUAUUGUUGGAAAACCCUACACUUUCCAGCUCAAACUGAACAUUUCAAUUUCUCCUCAAAGCACCAGACCUUCACCAUUUCUCGCAUCUUUCCUGAGCGAGUGCUUGUGCCCAUGCCAGCCUUUGUGGAAGUUGCAAAUGUUCCUGCGGAUGCUCAGGCCGAAGAUGUGGCACAAGGAACAAAUGCCAACGUUGGAAUCACUUCCACUGGAGCAGAUAAGCCAACUAUAUCUGAUGCUUCAACUGGUAAACGUCCACCACCGGCCAAAGACCAAGACGAUGUCGACAAGACUGCCCCGAAGAAGGCACAUGUGGAAUGAGUCCAUCACUCCACAGCUAGAACAACCACAACUGCUUCUGUUUCUAAUUAUGCUUUAGUGUUUCCAUUUUCCCGUUGGACUAUUUCUCUCUCUCUUUUUCUUAUAAAGCAAUGUGUUAUGCUUUAGUGUUUUCCAUAUGGUUUUGGACUAUUUAUCUUUGGCUUUUAAAAAUAUGUGGUUGUUCUUUUUAUUAUAUAAUCUUCUUUUUCUUAUAAAGCAAUGUGUUAUGCUUUAGUGUUUUCCAUAUGGUUUUGAACUAUUUAUCUUUGGCUUUUAAAAAAAAUGUGGUUGUUCUUUUUAUUA